rnacentral:rRNA from 1 species
GUGGGGAAUAUUGGACAAUGGGCGCAAGCCUGAUCCAGCAAUGCCGCGUGGGUGAAGAAGGUCUUCGGAUCGUAAAGCCCUUUCGACAGGGACGAUGAUGACGGUACCUGUAGAAGAAGCCCCGGCUAACUUCGUGCCAGCAGCCGCGGUAAUACGAAGGGGGCUAGCGUUACUCGGAAUUACUGGGCGUAAAGGGCGCGUAGGCGGCUCUGUUAGUCAGGCGUGAAAUUCCUGGGCUUAACCUGGGGACUGCGCUUGAUACUGCAGGGCUUGAGUCCGAGAGAGGGUGGUGGAAUUCCCAGUGUAGAGGUGAAAUUCGUAGAUAUUGGGAAGAACACCGGUGGCGAAGGCGACCACCUGGCUCGGUUCUGACGCUGAGGCGCGACAGCGUGGGGAGCAAACAGGAUUAGAUACCCGAGUAGUCC